rnacentral:ncRNA from 2 species
GUCGGUGCGAAUCCGACGCUGUCCCGCAACUGUGAUCCCGUCCCCGGACGGGCGAGCCAGG